AGCGCAGGCGGGCGAUCAAGUUGGAAGUGAAAACCAUGGGCUCAACCCAUGAAUUGCUUUCAAAACUGUUUUUCUUGAGUAGUGCAGAGGUAGAUGGAAUUCCCGGUGUAGCGGUGGAAUGCGUAGAUAUCGGGAGGAACACCAGUGGCGAAGGCGGUCUACUGGGCACCAACUGACGCUGAGGCUCGAAAGCAUGGGUAGCAAACA
rnacentral:rRNA from 1 species